UGUAAAUAUCACAAGGUGUUUCUUCAGUCUGUGAACUGAAAAGCUGGGGAGAGCAUGUAAUCCUCUUCCUCGCCUUUUCUGUUGUGUUCUGUAAUCACAAGUAUCACCAAUAGAGGGAAUAUUAUGAAUUCUAUGUUGCAGUUUUUUGGAGAAAUACCUGAGCAUCCUGAUGGGCAACAAGUCGAACAUGGAUCAGCAAUGUAUCCUUGUCACAAAUGUCAGCAGCAUCCCAGCUGCAUUAUGAAAACUCUUGACAGCAAGUUGAGGGAGGUGAUGGCUCCCCCCAUCCCCAACCACUGUGAGGCUACAUCUGGAGCGCUGCUUGCAGAUUACUAUUGCACUGAUCGCUUUUUCUGGGCAGACCUCUGAAGCAGACAAUUCUGUGAGGAGGAUCACAGGAGAUGUGCCAGAAGCAUUACUCGCACACAACCAAGCAACAUCAGAGAAAGACUGAUCAGACCAUCAAGGUGUCCAGCUAUCAAGCCUAUCAAGACUAUCCAGGAUGAAGCCACCGAUCCAUACA